UGAUCUUUAUUUUAAAUUACUAAAUGUAUUCCUUAGACUAUGCUAAUUAUGUAACCAUGUAAGUAGAAGCCAAGUCAUUUUUAAAUCUCAACCUUACUUCAGGUAACCAGCAAAGGGAUAAAUAUUCUAAGAAGGGAAUGGAGCCUGCUCUUCUGACCAGGUUAUAUUACAAAUCUUAUGAAGUCAGUAGGAUUUGCAUAAGUACUUCUUUCUUUCAGUGUUCCUGCUCCUUAGAGUAUUAUAAGAAGUUCUUUCUCAGAGGUAUAUCACGAUCCACACAAACUCAGGGAAAGAUCGAAGAUGGUGUUCAUAACUCAGUUCCUUGGACUUCUGCUAUUCUGGAUUUCAGCAUCCAGAGGUGACAUUUAAUGACUCAGUCUCCAGGCACCAUGUCUGUGACUUCAGGAGACAGUAUCAGUCUCUCCUGCAAGGCCAGCCAGAGUAUUAGCAACGACCUACACUGGUAUCAGCAAAAAUCACAUGGGUCUCCAAGACUUCUCAUCAAGUAUGCUUCGCAGACCAUCUCUGGGAUCCCCUCCAGGUUCAGUGGCAGUGGAUCAGGGACUGAUUUAACUCUCAGUAUCAACAGUGUAGACCCAGAAGAUUUUGUAAUGUAUUACUGUCAACAAAGUAACAGCUGGCCUCUCACAGUGAAACAGACCAUAGCAAAAACCACUAGGAAAGCAGAAGUGUGAGGUUGGGCUGCUUUAGCUGUUUCUGUUAGUUCUUCAGCUUUCUUCAAACUAUUUCUCAGAUGUAGCCAGGAAUGAAUUUACAGAAAUAUAUGGGAUGGAAAAGUCCCAAAGUUC